rnacentral:antisense_RNA from 1 species
UGUGGGAGCUGGCUUGCCAGCGAUGGCGGUCUUUCAGUCACUGAAAAUGUCGACUGAUCCACCGCUAUCGCUGGCAAGCCAGCUCCCACA